rnacentral:rRNA from 1 species
GAUGAACGCUAGCGGCAGGCCUAACACAUGCAAGUCGAGGGAGAAGCCCUUUCGGGGGCAGAAACCGGCGCACGGGUGCGUAACGCGUAUGCAACCUACCUUUCACAGGGGGAUAGCCCGAAGAAACUUGGAUUAAUACCCCAUAAUAUUGUUGGAUGGCAUCAUCUAGCAAUUAAAGCUACGACGGUGGAAGAUGGGCAUGCGUCCUAUUAGCUAGUUGGAGUGGUAACGGCACCCCAAGGCUACGAUAGGUAGGGGUCCUGAGAGGGAGAUCCCCCACACUGGUACUGAGACAGGGACCAGACUCCUACGGGAGGCAGCAGUGAGGAAUAUUGGUCAAUGGUCGGAAGACUGAACCAGCCAUGCCGCGUGCAGGAAGAAUGCCUUAUGGGUUGUAAACUGCUUUUAUGUGGGAAGAAUAAGGCGUAACGUGUACGUUGAUGACGGUACCAUAUGAAUAAGCAUCGCA